UACGUAGGGGGCAAGCGUUGUCCGGAAUCAUUGGGCGUAAAGCGCGUGUAGGCGGUCCGGUAAGUCCGCUGUGAAAGUCGGGGGCUCAACCCUCGGAUGCCGGUGGAUACUGUCGGGCUAGAGUGCGGAAGAGGCGAGUGGAAUUCCUGGUGUAGCGGUGAAAUGCGCAGAUAUCAGGAGGAACACCUAUUGCGAAGGCAGCUCGCUGGGACGUAACUGACGCUGAGACGCGAAAGCGUGGGGAGCAAACAGG
rnacentral:rRNA from 1 species